GUGAGGAAUAUUGCGCAAUGGAGGCAACUCUGACGCAGCCAUGCCGCGUGCAGGAAGAAGGCGCUACGCGUUGUAAACUGCUUUUAACCGGGAAGAAACCCCAGGACGUGUCCUGGGUUGACGGUACCGGAGGAAUAAGCACCGGCUAACUUCGUGCCAGCAGCCGCGGUAAUACGAAGGGUGCAAGCGUUAUCCGGAUUCAUUGGUGUUAAAGGGUGCGUAGGCGGAGCGUUAAGUCAGUGGUGAAAUCCUGCAGCUUAACUGUAGACUUGCCAUUGAUACUGGCGCUCUUGAGUGCGCUUGAAGUGGGCGGAAUGUGCCGUGUAGCGGUGAAAUGCUUAGAUAUGGCACAGAACACCAAUUGCGAAGGCAGCUCACUAAGGCGAUACUGACGCUGAGGCACGAAAGCGUGGGGAUCGAACAGGAUUAGAUACCCCAGUAGUCC
rnacentral:rRNA from 1 species